CUUCAUCACUGACACACACAACAAUCUUCAUCAACAUGACCUUCAUCAUCAUCUUCAUCUGGACUCUCACAGCGUUUGCUCAAGAGUGUAGAGGACAGAUCACCGUCACUCAGAGUCCCUCAACGACAGCAGCUCGACCAGAAGAAACAGUCAAAAUCAACUGUAAAACCAGCACAGAUGUUCACUCUGUUGCAGGAGGGUUUGCAUUUAUAACUACUUCAAUUACUUACUUUUUUAGCUGGUACUUACACAAACCUGGAGAAGCUCCUAAACGCCUGAUAUAUAGUACAACAGACCGUCACAGUGGAACUCCAUCUAGAUUCAGUGGCAAGAGUUCAUCUGCAAGAGAUUUCACUCUGACCAUCAGUGGAGUCCAGACUGAAGAUGCUGGACAUUAUUACUGUCAGAGUUACCACAUCAGUGGUGGUAAAGCUGUGUUCACACAGUGAUAAAGAGUCGUACAAAAACCUCCGUCAGUCAGAGUCACAGAGACUGAACUGAUCCUGCAGCUGCUCAAACACUAUCACUCACUACUGACACACAGAGACAAACACAGCAACUACACAUGAGCUCAGAACUGAGUUAGGAGUCAAAUCAGCUCCAUUAGACUGAGAUCUGUCCUGUGACAGACGGGUUUGACUCAGAAUCAGAGAAAACAGUAUGUAAACUGAUAUCAAACAGACAAUAAUGGCACCAUAUGUUGUUUUGUUUUUGUAAGUUAAUGUACAUUACACUGUAAAAUCAUUGUGUAUCAGCAGUAACAAAGAUGUUGUGAACCUUUUUCAAGAAAUUGCUUAAUCUCAAGCUGAUAAUGAAUUUAUUACUCCUCCUCUGCACCAAUCAGAAGGCUGCAGUGAUGAUUAUGAUCAGCUGUGAUGUUGAGUUUAAUGCUGCAUUCACGUGCUAUCAGAAUUAUCAUAAAACAAGCUUCCUAGUCGGAAAUUGGACAUGAAUGGCCUUAGAGAGACCUUAUAUGGCCAAUUUCGGCCUAGGAAACUCGUAUUUACAAUAAUUCUGAUAGCACGUGAAUGCAGCAUUAAUUGCAGUGUUCUGUGAUGAGCAGCAGAGUUUUGAAGUAUACUAUAUAUAGCUAUAGCUGCUGUCAGGCUGUUGAAUGUGUUUCUCUCUUGAGUCUUGAUUAUUGUUCAUUGUCUUUUUUUUUUUCUUUUGUCUGAAUGUUUUGCUUUUCCGGGUUUGAGUCUGUUGUGACUCAGAAUCAAACACUCAUGUAGUUGGUUUUGUGUGACUAAUUGAGUUACAUUUCUUUUUGGUUUUCUUUAGCAGUGCAUUGUUGUUGAAUUCUGAAAAACAGUCAUUAACAGCCACAUGUUCUUGUUUCAUCAUGAAUCUGCAGAUGUUUUCAUGCUCCAGUGAGUGGUUUAUUUAUUAAAUGUGAGCUGAAGCUUUGAUCCAAUAAAAGACCUGAAAUGAA